CCAACUCGAGUGUCAGAUGAC
rnacentral:siRNA from 1 species